rnacentral:lncRNA from 1 species
GCUAGGGUGAGGGCAAAGGCUGUGGGCCGAGCUCAGGGGGCUGGGGUGGGGGUGGGGAGUAGCAAACCAGGAAGAGAGACAACCAGUAAACUGUAUUCCUUCAUGUCCUCUACUUUAGUUCCUGCCUCCAGGUUCCUGUCUGGAGCUCUUGCACUGACUUCCAUCAACUGUGGACUGUGAUACAGAAGUGUAACAAAAUAAACCCUUUCCCUCACAGCAAUAAAAACCUCUAAGACACCCACCAUACCCAGCCUACCUGCCUCCCCCUCUCUCUCCUUCCCUCCCUCCCUCCUUCCUUUUUCCUUCCUUCCUUCCUUCCUUCCUUCCUUCCUUCCUUCCUUCUCUUUCUUACUUUCUUCCACCUACUCUCCUCCCUUCCUGACCCUCUCUUGAUAGGGUCUUACAAAUUCUAAGCUACCCUCAAAUUCACUAUGGUGCUGAAGAUCCUGGUGCUAGGAUUACAGAUAUAAACUACCAUGCCAGGAUGCUGUGGGGUCAGGGGACUGAACUGAGGGCUUUGUGAACACUGGACACCACGCCACUAACUUAGCUGUACUCUUGCACUUUCCACUUAAUGAUAUACUCUAGGCAUCUGUUAUAACACAUAUGGAUCCAUGUCAUCCUUUAUUUAUUUAUUUCCCACCCACCCACCCGGAGACUGGGGAGCCCUGGCUAUCCUAGAACUCACUUUGUUGUUAUUGUUUUUUGUUUUUGAGACAGGGUUUCUCUGUGUAGCCCUGGGUGUCCUGGAACUCACUCUGCAGACCAGGCUGGCCUUGAACUCAGAAAUUCACCUGCCUCUGCCUCCCAACCGCCACCACUGCCCGGCGGAACUCACUCUGUAGGCCAGACUGGCCUUUAACUCAGAAAGUGGAGUGCCUCGGCCUCCCAAAUUCUGGGGCUAAAGGGGUACACCACCAUCUGGCAACCUAUCAUUCUUUAUAUUCUCAAAAUAUGGGUUAAACAAUGACCUUCUGCAAUUCUUCAUCACUAAGAAUAUAUGUGUGUUCCAGUGAGCUGCCAGCCCCUUGUCACCAUUUGAGCAGAUUUUAUUUGUUUGGGUUUGGCCUUUUUUUCCCCCUGUCUUUUGUCUGUUUGUUUGGAGCAGCCUUAUGUAGCUCAGGCUGGCGUCCAAGUUGUUAUUUAUCCGAGGACAACUUGUGAUCCUCUUGCUUCCUCCAUCUGAGGGUCGGGAUUAGAGGUGUGUACCACUCUCUUAGUUACCCUUGUUGCUGAGAUAAAAUACCAUGACCAAAAGCAAUUAGUAGACAAAAGUGUUUACUCUGCCCCACAGCUCCCCAGGGAUGUGCGUCCAAGGCAGUGGGGAAGCAGAGCAGCAGGCAGCAGGCAUCCGGCAGGAGCAGGAAGCUGAGAGGUCACAUGUCCAUCUACACACAGGAAGUGGUGAGUGUGAACCGGAAGUGGGUCAAGGGGAUACCCCGAACCCCUUCAGAGCCCACCCCUUAGUGAUGGACUUCCUCCAACAAGACUGCACCUCCUAAAGGUUCCACAACUUCCCCAAACUGAGCGUCCAACAAGACCAAAUAUUCAAAUACCUGAGCCUAUGGUGGACAUUUCUCUUUUCAAACUGUCGCAAUCAUUCUGCCCGGUUUGGUUGUUUUAAUUUGUUUGGUUGGUUGGUUUGAGUCGAUAUCUCACGUUUGGCCCAGGAGUUCUGAUCCUCUUCACUCAGCCUCCCAAGUGCUAGAUUUUAGCCCUUUAGCAAGUUACUUAAGCUUGAUGAAAAUCAUCUGAUAGGUCAAACGAGUUUCUCAUU